UACGUAGGGUGCGAGCGUUGUCCGGAAUUAUUGGGCGUAAAGGGCUCGUAGGCGGUUUGUCGCGUCUGCCGUGAAAGUCCGGGGCUCAACUCCGGAUCUGCGGUGGGUACGGGCAGACUAGAGUGAUGUAGGGGGAGACUGGAAUUCCUGGUGUAGCGGUGAAAUGCGCAGAUAUCAGGAGGAACACCGAUGGCGAAGGCGGUUCUCUGGGCAGUAACUGACGCUGAGGAGCGAAAGCGUGGGGAGCGAACAGG
rnacentral:rRNA from 1 species